GUCUGUGGCUGCUGGGCUGGCGGGGCGCAGGCCGCGGGACCCGAGCCCGGGGAAGCGAGAGAGCGGAGGCGCCGAGGAUCCGAUUCACUCCCUGGGGAGACCUAUGGGCCGAAGCCGUGUAAAUGCGUUUUAAGCAGAGGCCUCGGCUCCGCAACUGCCACUCCUCCUCGGGGUGUUGCACAAGUUUCGAGGUCACCGGCGACCCCCCCUAGCAGCGCGCCUGGCUCUGGCCCCCGCGAAGGAGGACGGAGUUUGGACGAGGUAGCUGCCUUCUUCGUGGCUGACCUGGGUGCCAUAGUGAGGAAGCACUUUUGCUUUCUGAAGUGCCUGCCACGAGUCCGGCCCUUUUAUGCUGUCAAGUGCAACAGCAGCCCAGGUGUGCUGAAGGUUCUGGCCCAGCUGGGGCUGGGCUUUAGCUGUGCCAACAAG
rnacentral:lncRNA from 1 species